rnacentral:lncRNA from 1 species
ACACCUCUCUCCAUAGAUAAUUCAUACUACUUCACCCAUAUUAAUUCUUAGUUUUUAUCAUUUACUCUAGCUUAUCCCCUUUGAAGUAAUUAUUUAAUUAGGAAAAAUAACUUGUCUCCAAUCCCUGUGGACCGACACCCGUAAUCACUAUCCUACAGGAUACGUGCUAUUGCGUGGUUUAUUUUUGAAAUUGAAAUAACCGAUCAAUAUGUAUACCUGCUUCCCAAUCCAUCCAUGGUCAAACCCAUAUCCACAACAGGAUCUAUGACUGUAACUAUGCACUAUAUACAAUAGAAGGUUUAUAAUACACCAAAAGGUAUAAACCUCUAUCUACAUUAUACUAUACUAUACUAUGGAGCGGCACAGCUAGCAGGCAAUCUCUAAUCCUGCUCUUCUCUAUACAAUACGUGCCCUGCAAUCAAAAACACCAAACUGGGGAGUGAGUAUAUAAAUACUCAGUGAGUGGAGUAGAGAGUACAAUGCAUAUGAGACAAGAUAUAAUCAUGGCUCGAGGUGAAGUCUCAAGAUCAAUAACAAGAUGAACAUGAACUCAACAUAAAGAAUAUGGAGUAAAUCAUCAAUAUCACCACAAUCACAAUCAACUCAUCUGAA